rnacentral:lncRNA from 1 species
AAAUUUCCAUUCGGUCAAACCCUAAACGUCAACCCCUUCAUAUCAUAACUCAAUGUCAUUAUUUAUUAUUUUUAAGAAAUAUAAAGUUCGUUUGAUUAUUUUAAUAUUAUUUUUAAACGAACGGGUGAAAGAAAGUGUCGUCUCGGGUUUUGAUUUUUGAAAACCGCAAACACUUCGCGUAUUAGAAACACCCGACCAAACUUUUAUGUUUUGGGUUUAGAAAUCACCAAAACCGUAAACUCAUGCCUAUGUAUGAGUUUACUCCCCAAAAAGUUAGUCAUUUGUGUUUACUCCCCAAAAGUCAAAAGAGUAAACUCCAAAAUAUCCUCUCAAGUAUCAUCUCAGAAUAAUACACAACAUAAACCACAAAGACAUAAUGCAGGAUAUGUGACAACCCGAAAUUUCCAUUCGGUCAAACCCUAAACGUCAACCCCUUCAUAUCAUAAGUCAAUGUCAUUAUUUAUUAUUUUUAAUAAAUAUAAAGUUCGUUUGAUUAUUUUAAUAUUAUUUUUAAACGAACGGGUGAAAGAAAGUGUCGUCUUGGGUUUUGAUUUUUGAAAACCGCAAACACUUCGCGUAUUAGAAACACCCGACCAAACUUUUAUGUUUUCGGUUUAGAAAUCACCAAAAACUGUAAACUCAUGCCUAUGUAUGAGUUUACUUCCCAAAAAGUUAGUCAUUUGUGUUUACUCCCCAAAAGUCAAAAGAGUAAACUCCAAAAUAUCCUCUCAAGUAUCAUCCAAGAUUUAAUUCCAAAUUUUCAAAGUUGUAAGUGUUCUAACCAUUUAAUUUCAAGUUAGUAAAACACUUAAUCUAGUGUUUGUGCAUCUAUUCAUCCAUUCAUUUAUGUGUUUUGUUUAGAUUUUCCAAAACACCAAGAGCACCAAGAACACACACUAAGUGUUCUUGGCCUUUUAGCUCAAAUCAAGCCUUCUUAUAGUAAGUACUUCCAUCCUUGAGCAUUAUUGAGCUAGUACUACAUUUAAACAUCAAGAAAAUAUGUCAAGAACACAAGAUUGAAGGUGUUCACGGUCCAAGAAUGUUCUUGGGCCGUAAACACCAUAAAGGGCACCAAAGUGUGCCUAAGUCCUUAUCUAAGCCCUAGUUUGAUGUUUAAACCAUGCUUGACAUAUUUAAACCCUUCCUUAUAGUGUUUAAGCCUUGAAAAAGCACCAAAACCCCCACUUUUAUGUGUUUACGGUCUAGGGAUGUCCCAAAACCGUAAACACCCCAAAAAGUGUGUAAAUGUCCAUUAAAAGUCCCAUGGUUGUUCCUUAUGGCUAAAUCUAACCUAGACUAGUACCAUGAUUGAGCUAAGGACUUGAAAACCCCAAAUACCAUAAACUUAGGAGUUUAAGGUAGUAAACUCAUGAGUUUAAGGUAGUAAACUCAUGAGAAAUGGUCCUUAGACCGUAAACUCCAUUUAGGAGUGUUUUGAUGCCACACAACACUUCCUAAGGCUAAUUCAUGAAGUAGGAAUGCUU